UACAGAGGGGGCUAGCGUUAUUCGGAAUUAUUGGGCGUAAAGGGCGCGUAGGCGGCCUUGCGUGUCUUUCGUGAAAUCCCUCGGCUUAACUGAGGACGUGCGGAAGAAACUGCAGGGCUUGAGUCCGGGAGAGGGGGGUGGAAUUCCCAGUGUAGCGGUGAAAUGCGUAGAUAUCUGGAGGAACACCGGUGGCGAAGGCGGCAUCCUGGACCAAUUCUGACGCUGAGGAGCGAAAGCCAGGGGAGCAAACGGG
rnacentral:rRNA from 1 species